AACCUGUUAAUCUCUUGGUUGAGGAAUUAAGCCACUACAGUUUGCAUGUUUUCUUUCGUUUAUGCAAGUGUCACCUGUCCAUACAGGUCAUGGCUGGAAUAAUGUAAACAACACUGCACUUCGAGGCAGAACACAUGCAUCUUUGACUCAGCAGCAGCUCACUGAAGUUCAUGUAUUUACAUUUUUCCUGCAAAUAGCGCUUGGGUGUCCAGUCUGCCCCUGGUGCUCUGGAAGCGGAGGGGGGGGGGGCUGGGUUACAAUGUCUUAUGCUGCAACUCUCACCAACUCACGUAUUACUGAAACAGCGAGCUAUCGGGGGUUUAUCACUGUGUGCCACUGCAAACUGAAGGCAUAAAAAAGAAAAGAAGAAGAGGUGGUGUAGCGUUAGAGCCUGACUGGCUGCCUGCAACCUAUACAUCCCAGCUACUGCACAGCUUAGCAAGGAAGCUAACGAUACCAAGAGGAAAACAGCGUUUCCUCUAAAUGUCAGUCCCUGAAAACGGAGCUGCAGAAUGACCAAAGGCGCAUACUGUCAUGAGUGUGUCGCUGUGGGUUUUCUUAAACGGCAAACAUUUUUUUUUUUUAAAUCAGACGACCUCCGGUUAGGCUCGCUUAGCCGGUGGAGGUUCAUCAUGGCUGAUCGGCCGAGAACACCCCUCUCUCUUUGCUAGCAUCUCCACACCGCCCCAUCUUCCACGAAAAGUCGUGGAAAAUUCAGCCUGAUCUAACAACACGCACGGACCGAGAACGACGUGGCAAAGCCUCCCGCGACUACCUCACAAUGACGGGACAAACAUUUAGAGACAUUCUUUAAGUGGAAGAGAGGCUGCUGCACAUCUGAACGGCUGGACUAGUGACAACUGCCCCAACCUCUAGAGGAGAAGUGCGCCGAGGGCCUCAGAUGACUGCAGAUGCAUCACUUUUUCUGUUUUAUCCUCAUUUGUACCACAGAAGGAAGAACAGCAACCAGGCGGAAGCCGAAGAAAAACAACUGUGUAAUCUCGAGACAGUGGCUUCAAACAAUGGCGGCUUACAGUAUAUCUGCAAGUGACGAAUAACGCAUGAAUAGUUCCUUUGCAAACCAGAUAACUUUCAUAGUGCAUAACAAUAAAAAUAAUAAUCAUGGAAAAACGAACCGAACGGAAAAAAAAAA